UACGUAGGGGGCAAGCGAUACUCGGAAUCACUAGGCGUAAAGCGCAGGUAGGCGGUUUGAUAAGUCUGUUGUGAAAGCUCCCGGCUUAACUGGGAGAGGUCAACGGAAACUGUCAGGCUAGAGUGUGGUAGAGGUAGCUGGAAUUCCCGGUGUAGCGGUGAAAUGCGUAGAUAUCGGGAGGAAUACCUAUGGCGAAAGCAGGCUACUGGACCAUCACUGACGCUGAUCUGCGAAAGCUAGGGGAGCAAACAGG
rnacentral:rRNA from 1 species